UUCUUUAAGACCAUAAUUUAAAGUAAUACCUGCUCAAUGUCAAGAAUUAAUAGCCGCAGUAUCACUGUGCUAAGGUAGCAUAAUAAUUUGCUUCUUAAUUAGAAGAUAGAAUGAAAGGUUACACAUUUAAGAUCUGUAUCUUCCCAACACAAAUUAAAUUAAGCAAAAAGUAAAAACUCUUUUAUUACCCGCGGGACGACAAGACCCUAAUAAACUUAGCAUUUAGUUGGGGAAACACUAUAAUAAAUAUUUAAAUAUAAUAUCACCAUAUCUUUAAUAUAAAAUUAAGUCUAGUUACUAUAGGGAUAACAGCGCUAUUUCUUUUAAGAGCCCUUAUCUAAAAAGAAGAUUACGACCUCGAUGUUGAAUUAGUUAUACUAUUAAGCGCAAAAGCUUAACAAGGUAGUCUGUUCGACUAUUAAAAAACU
rnacentral:rRNA from 1 species